rnacentral:lncRNA from 1 species
GCCAUUCCUUCUCUGUGGCCUGGAGACAGGUUUUUCCAAAACUCCUCCCCUGGCUCAGGCAAACACACCUGACCUUUCUCUCGCUGGGCCCAGGGUGAGGCAGAGCAGCCAGGAACAAGGUGGGGUGAACCAGACAGAGCUGGAGUGCUCUCCCACCCCUGCUCUGCCCAGCCACCCCGCCAAGCCCAUGAUUCCAGGCAGGGUAAGGCCCUCCUCCCAGAGGAAGGGGCCAACAGUCCAGUGACCUUGGCGUGCGCUUCGCCUGGCACUCCCCUCACAUUGCUCCCUACAGCUUGCACUCUGCCUCUGACUCUCUUCCAAGAACAAUUGGACAAGCUCUAAUCUACAUCUUGCAAAAAAAAAAAAAAAAAAAACCCAGGAGAGGUAGGAGGGCCACAGCACCUGGGGUCCCAGAAGGCAGACUGACACCUAUUCCUACUGUGGGGACCAUUCAACUCCCACAGGAGGCUUCUUGGAGCACGGUCCAGCUAGUUCGUCUUGAAGGGACAGCCAUGCUCCAGGUGCAGUUUUGGGAGCCAUCUGAUCACUGUCCUUUCAUCCAAGCAUCUGCCUUCUGAAGGAGGCGAGGCCAUGUGCUGUCAAGCACUGUGGACAGACUGCCUGGGAUCAAGUCCUAGCUCCUCCACCCCCAACUGGACCAGCCACUAUUGUACCUCUGACCGAUCUCAGAACACAGCUGGAUUACCAGGAGGAAAACUAAGUGAGUGCUUAGAGGCUGGCAAAGUAAGGAGAACCAUUUGUAGGUGAUGUGGUAGAGAUGCUGACCAUCAUUCCUUGCUCUUAAUUAUUAUGAGAAAAAUGAGAACCCCCUCCUUGGACUUCCUUAUUCCUAUGCUGAAGUGUAAUGUUCUGUUUUUAACAAUGUAUGGAGGCAGCACACACAGUGCUUUGCAUGCCUGGGGCCUCUAAGGAUCUCAGUCUGGCCUUGCUCUGAAAUUGCUGCAAGGCCUGCCAAUUCCCUCAUGUAUCACGAGUGUUCCCGAACAAUAAGCUCAUUUACCAGGUCUAGCUGUGACCAGAUAUUUUUUAAUCACCAUGAUCACUGGGUUGACAGGUUGAGCUUGAGCUCCACCAUAAGCCUGAGUCUUUCCAAAGGCCUGGGGGACCAAAGGCAGAAGCAAGACCACACGUAGAGAAGGCACCGAGCAAGCGGAUCUGUACAGUUCUUCGGUUCUAAACAACUCGCAGAAUCCAGGUGGACUCAGAGCCUGUGUGGCCACUGGGCAGGGAAGGUGGUGGUUCCUAGGCCCAUCAAAACCCCAAGGAACACUGACUUCUGUCUCCUGCUAUAGCUUCAGGUGCCAGACUCACUGGGGUCUUAGAAGGUAGGGCUGGAAGGAGGUGGGCCCAGAGGGUUCCACUCCUUAAGUGCUAGCUUCAAGAUGGAAGAUAUUAAGGGGUUGAUUCUUUUUUUAAGACCCUAAGAUGUUCCAGGCUUCUGUAGAGCAGGCACAGUCCUUGCCCUCCAGGACUUGGAUCAAUAAAGACACAAAACACUAGAGGCAGAAGCUGCAUACGGGCAACCUCCAUGCAGAAUCUGCCCGCAUCUGUGUUUGUUCAGCCAACAGUGCUUUUUAGAAAGUUGAGUCAGAAUGUCUUUGGAAGGACACUGUAGGUGACUGCAGGCACCAUGCCCCAUCGUCUCCCCAGCAUAUUCACAUAUUGGCAUUACCUGCCUGGUCUCUACAGUCUGAAUGCCAAGUAUGAAGUGUGAAUAUAAAGGCAGCAAACAAGUGUGAUUGGGGCACAAGAAAGGGAUUCAGCUGGGUGUGGUGGCUCAUGCCUGUAAUCCCAACACUUUGGGAGGGCGAGGCAGGUGGAUCACUUGAGGCCAAGAGUUCGAGACCAGCCUGGCCAACAUGAUGAAACCCCGUCUCUACUAAAAAUAUAAAAAUUAGCUGGGUGUGGUGGAGGGCACCUGUAAUCCCAGCUGCUCAGGAGGCUGAGGCAGAAUCGCUUGAACCCAGAAGGCAGAGGUUGCAGUGAGCCGAGACCACGCCACUGCACUCCAGCCUGGGUGACAAAAGCAAAACUCAUCCC